AUGAGAAGAAGCAAAACCAUGAUCCUAGUAGCCAUGGCUGCUUUGCAAAUGUGUGGUAGUUCCUCCAAUAUCUCAAUGUACAAAUCUCAUAGGCAUAACAAAGUUAAUCCAAUAUCUCAAUGUACAUCGAACGUCCAAAUAUCACAAAACCUGCAGCAAAUCAGCGGCCGCGCACGAGCAACUAGCUCACCUCCCCUCGCGCCGCCUCCCCCUGGGCGACGCCAGGGGUCCCUCAACCCUAGCACCGGGGGCAAGUUUCUGCUGACGAGAGAAGACCCAGGGGCAAGUGGUUAUUUUCUUGUCUUUUAUAAUGACACCUCUAAUUAA
rnacentral:rRNA from 1 species